GAACCUUGGAUAGUACAACAUAAAGAAAAUUUGGAACAAGUUUUUAAAUGUGCUAGAGCUCGCCUGCUAGCUGCUGCAGCCCAACGGGCUCGAUCUAACAAUGAAAAGGUGAAUUGUGACUCUCUGCAAGAGGGUCAGUUGGUGUAUCGAAGAUCUCAUAAGGUAAGAGGCAGAAAUAAAAUCCAGGAUGUUUGGGAUCCUACCCUUUACAGGAUUGUGCAAAGCCCAGAUGGUUUAGGUCCAGUGUAUUCUAUAUGUCCGGCGGAUGGGAGUGGGCAAGUUAAACGAAUACAUCGUUGUGAGUUGCGUCCAGUCUAUAAUGCUACAGAGGAUCCAGGGUUGUCCCCUCAUAUGAGGGAUGAAGAGCCCAAUCUAAAUGAAGAUCUCAUUUUAAUUGUAUCACAGCCAACGGAGGAGGUACAUUCACAGGAUGAAUGUACAGGUAAUGUUUUGUCUGGUCCAGGUAGGAGCCAAAGUAGUGCGUUACCAGUUUCACAGGGUGGUGGGGAACCAAGACGCACACAGAGAUUAACUGCAGGAUGUCAUCGGAACCCGUAUCAUCUCCCUCAAUCUGUGUGCAUUAAUGAUCAGAUAGCUCUCCCUGUGAUAAGGCCAUCCAAUAGUUCCCAAAGCUGUGUGUUUAGGCCAUGGGUGUGAAAAUAUAAUUUAUCGCCGGGACGUCGAUUUGAUUUUGGGGGGGAUGGGUGUAACCGGUUGACGUAUGGGUUGGGGACUACAACUCCCAAUAGUCUUUGGGACAAUUUUAAGAAUUGCGUCAUUACGUAGUUGGCACGCUAUAAACAGACGCACGGAAGUACUGCGCGUCCUCGUUUCAUUCAUUCAUUGAACUCGGAAAUAAGCGUGAGCUUGCAUCAGGUCACCUUUAUGUGAUUUUUGAACGUGGGGCAUAAGGCAGUCGUAUGUAUUUGUUUUAUCAAGAAGUCCUUGUGUGUUGAUGGUGAUUGGCCUGGUGAUGCAGCCUUCAGAGUGUUGAAUGAGUGAGAGCGAAUUAGGUUCCUUUUAAAGAAGAACCGUGUGGUUGAUGUAUUCCUUUUUUUUCUUUAAUCCAGUUCAUUUAAAGGUAUUUGAUUAGAUUAAAUAAUUUGAUUUAUGCAAAUGUGUGUUUCAGUUAUUAAUAAAAGGUUUUUAUGUUGCAGGACUAGCACGGCUAUUGUUACUAUUUGAUUUCUUUUAUUUUUGGUGAAUUACCCUCAUUUUUUCUUUGGAUGUUGUGUAUUUAUAUUAUUGUAUGCUUUCAAUUGAUACUGUUUUCUUUUUCUUUUUAGUUUUCCAUCUUACUUCCAUGGCAGCUGCAGGGUCUCCUCCAAGGGUGUGACUGGCACUGGUGAGGUGGUGGGCAUUCUUCUGUGGUUCCUGGUGAUGUAUUUAUCCUUUUGAGUGCCGUGGAUUUUUGUACUGUAUUUGGAGUGUGCAUUGCAAGUAGU